rnacentral:lncRNA from 1 species
AUGAACUGUGUGUUGAACUGGACUAUUUCAAAGCAACUGCCCUAUUGAAUUACAGAUACAAAAAGGAUUACACUCAUUUUAGCAUGGAGAAUCAGAUUUCCAUUCUUUGAGAAUGACUAAAAACCUCAAUUUUUUUCUAUCCACAGAUGGUACUAAUUUGAACACAUCAUUCCAUGCUUCCUGGAGUAAUCACACAGCUUGCUUAGAUUUUCUAAACAUGACUGAACUGUGAUGAAGCGAUCAACAUUCACUGGCAAGAAAUGUCUUUACAAUAAUGGUGGCAUUAUUUGGAAGCACACAGCAGGGAUCACUGGUGCUAUUUGGGAUACACACUUGGAUCUUGAACCCUAAACACAGAGCCUGAAAAUAGUAAGUAUUAAAUAAGUAUUUAUUGGUCAAAUUUCCACACUACAAUUAUAAAAGUUACUUCAGACCUGAUAUUCACUCUUAAGAGAAGGAUUAUAUUUAAUACUUAAGUCUGUAUGAGGGAUAUUUUGUAAAACACUUGAAUUUCAAUUAGAGUAGCAAUGCUAAUAGCUAUUUCUU